rnacentral:rRNA from 1 species
UCGAACGAGUUCUCGUUGAUGAUCGGUGCUUGCACCGAGAUUCAACAUGGAACGAGUGGCGGACGGGUGAGUAACACGUGGGUAACCUGCCCUUAAGUGGGGGAUAACAUUUGGAAACAGAUGCUAAUACCGCAUAGAUCCAAGAACCGCAUGGUUCUUGGCUGAAAGAUGGCGUAAGCUAUCGCUUUUGGAUGGACCCGCGGCGUAUUAGCUAGUUGGUGAGGUGACGGCUCACCAAGGCGAUGAUACGUAGCCGAACUGAGAGGUUGAUCGGCCACAUUGGGACUGAGACACGGCCCAAACUCCUACGGGAGGCAGCAGUAGGGAAUCUUCCACAAUGGACGCAAGUCUGAUGGAGCAACGCCGCGUGAGUGAAGAAGGCUUUCGGGUCGUAAAACUCUGUUGUUGGAGAAGAAUGGUCGGCAGAGUAACUGUUGUCGGCGUGACGGUAUCCAACCAGAAAGCCACGGCUAACUACGUGCCAGCAGCCGCGGUAAUACGUAGGUGGCAAGCGUUAUCCGGAUUUAUUGGGCGUAAAGCGAGCGCAGGCGGUUUUUUAAGUCUGAUGUGAAAGCCCUCGGCUUAACCGAGGAAGCGCAUCGGAAACUGGGAAACUUGAGUGCAGAAGAGGACAGUGGAACUCCAUGUGUAGCGGUGAAAUGCGUAGAUAUAUGGAAGAACACCAGUGGCGAAGGCGGCUGUCUGGUCUGUAACUGACGCUGAGGCUCGAAAGCAUGGGUAGCGAACAGGAUUAGAUACCCUGGUAGUCCAUGCCGUAAACGAUGAAUGCUAGGUGUU